CAGCGAUGAGCGUUCCCAGCCCCAAAGCUGGGGGCAAAUUGGGGCUCAGCGCCCCCCUCGAUGGAGGGCCACGGCUCCGACCUCAACCGGGUGCCGCCCCCCGGGGACCUUUGGCCCCGUGCAGAAGAAGCGCUGCGCUGCGAACCUCAGCUCACCUUCGCCUCCGAUGCCUUCAGGAGGUUCAUCACCUCCCCCUCGCGGGCGUAAUCCAGCGGCGUGUGCCCCAUCUCGUUCUUCUGCAGGGGGUUGGCACCUGAAGGCAGGGAGAGAGGGAGGAGGUCAGGGAGCCCUGGGGUGGAGGGGGAACGCAGAGCAUCCCCUGUGCGGACGUCCCAUUCCGACCUCAGAGGGACAAUCCCAUGGGAUGCGGGGGAGAAACCACUCUCUUCUUCGGGAUUGCAUUGGGAACAACGGGUCGGGAAAUGCGUGGGUGCCCGCAGAGAGCCGGGCCUGCGUGGGGAGCACAAACCGGUCCCAGUUCCGCACUGGGAAGCAGCGGUGUGGAUGCGGAGGAAGAGUGGGGCACGGCAGGCCGAGGUCAGCAGGAUGUGGGGGGAUGGGGAGACACCCGUGUGGCACUGCUGGGGAUAAGAGGGGUGUGAGUAUGGCACCGUGGGGAUAGGGGAGACACCACUAUGGUGCCAUGGGGAUAGGAGGGACAUGAGUAUGGCAGCAUGGGGAGACACCAGUAUGGCAGCAUGGGAUUAGGGGGGACACCACUAUGGUGCCAUGGGGAGAGGGGAGACACCACUAUGGUGCCACGGGGAUAGGAGGGACAUGAGUAUGAUGUCAUGGGAACAGGGGAGACACCACUAUGGCACCAUGGGAUUAAGGGAGACGUGAGUAUGGCACCAUGGGGAGAGGGGAGACAUCACUAUGGUGCCAUGGGAUUAGGGGAGACACCAGUACGGCACCAUGGGGAUAGGAGGGACAUGAGUAUGGCACCAUGGGGAUAGGGGAAACAUGAGUAUGGCAACAUGGGGAUAGGGGAGAUGUGAGUAUGGCACCAUGGGGAUAGGGGAGACACCACUAUGGUGCCAUGGGGAGAGGGGAGACACCACUAUGGCAGCGUGGGGAGAGGGGAGACACCACUAUGACACCAUGGGAAUAGGAAAGACAUGAGUAUGGCACCAUGGGGAGAGGGGAGACACCACUGUGGUGCCAUGGGGAGAGGGGAGACACCACUAUGGCACCAUGGGAUUAAGGGAGACAUGAGUAUGGCACCAUGGGGAUAAGGGAGAUGUGAGUAUGGCAGCAUGGGGAUAGGGGAGACACCAGUAUGGCCCCAUGGGGAUAGGGGAGACAUGAGUAUGGCAUCAGAGGAAUAGGGGAGACACAAAUAUGGUGCCAUGGGGAUAGGAGGGACAUGAGUAUGGCACCAUGGGGAGAGGGGAGACACGAGUAUGGCACCACAGGGACAGGGGAGACAGCAGUACGGCAGCACGGGACCCAGGCCUGGCUCCUGGAAUGGGGCACCUCUCCUGGCACAAACGCCCACCGAUCCGAGCGCACAGCAGCC
rnacentral:lncRNA from 1 species